GACGAACGCUGGCGGCGUGCUUAACACAUGCAAGUGGAGCGACGAACCGGGGCUUGCCCCGGGGCAGAGCCGCGAACGGGUGAGUAACACGUGGGUUACCUGCCCUGAUGACCGGGACAACCCGUCGAAAGACGGGCUAAUACCGGAUGUGCCCGCAAGGGGAAAGGAGGCGUAAGCUUCCGCAUCGGGAUGGGCCCGCGGAGCAUUAGCUUGUUGGUGAGGUAAAAGCUCACCAAGGCUUCGAUGCUUAGCUGGUCUGAGAGGACGAUCAGCCACACUGGGACUGAGACACGGCCCAGACUCCUACGGGAGGCAGCAGUGGGGAAUCUUGCGCAAUGCGCGAAAGCGUGACGCAGCAACGCCGCGUGCGGGAA
rnacentral:rRNA from 1 species